rnacentral:lncRNA from 1 species
AAUAAAUUCCAACCCUUUAAAUAAAAUCAUCGUGUUAUUACAACAACACUAGCAGAACUGAGCAACAAACUCAGCCUUACCAACAGAAGAAAGCAGUUAAUUAAUACUCAAAUACAUGACCAUGUGCAUGAACUAUUUUCACAAUCAAGUGCUAAGUAAUGAGCCAAUGACCACCAUGUGCAUAAACUACUUUCAUGUGAACUCCAGACGCACCAAAGUUUCUGAUUUCAUCCUUCAGCGCCUCUAUUUUCUGCUUUACAUCAGGCCGUCCCAAGAUCUCUUCAUAUUUCUUCUGAAUUUCUAGCUAAAAGGUCUCCUUGUUCUUUGCGGAUACAUUCUUGGCUUUAACUGAAGUAUAUUAUUCUUGUAAAAGAACCAAGGUGAAUGUCCUCACAUUCAUUGAAUUAAUAAUUGCAGCCUUUAUUUGUUGUGAGGUCUAAUAGGGAUCUGCAUGUGCACCAACAAGUAGUAACUAGGAAGCAUAAUAUUAUAGUAUUAAGUAGUCUACUUUACGUAUAUAAAUAUAUAUAUAUAUAUAUAUAUAUAUAUAUAUAUAUAUAUGUAAAGAACUUACUGCAUUUGAAGGAGAUGGCCAGCAAUGUAGCGCUGCACCAGCAUGAACUGCAUCAACUGAACCUGAUGUGAAGGGAAGCCUGGAAACAUCUGCCCUUACAAGAGCAAGAUUACUGCAUAUUAUCAUUGAAACAAAAUUGAGUUAACCAUCACAUACUGGUUGGUACAAGAAUCAAACCCAUAAGGAAAAUCAGAAGAAUAUUGCAACUAGAAAUUUAAUUGCAUAAGCUGACUAUGUAGCAUUUAAGGGGAGAAUAGAAACUUACGAGUUUAAGAUUGUAUCAUCUUUUUUAAUGAAAUCAUAACACUGGCGAAGCAUAUUUUCAGAAAAAUCAAGUGCAAUAACUCCUGAAUAGGUCCUGGAUUUGCAAAUUUCCGGGAAAAAAAACCACUCCCAUAACUAACAUCUACAAGAACACCACCUUCUGUUGGUUUGAACAAUUCCUGAGCCAUCUUGAACUACAAACUUUUAAAUUCAUAAUUAAGUCAUGUAGCAAUAAGCAUUCAUUUAUGGAAACUGACCACUUCAAUAACUAGGCAUACAGACAUGAUAUGUGUUAAACAAAUGUACUAAAACAGGUAUAUUAUCAUCUCGCAGAAUCUGACCACUUCAGUAAUAUAUUGUCUUCACUUCAAGUACUACCAAAUUGACUCCACAAAUUUUAUCAGCUAUAAGAAUGCAUUAAGUCAAACCAGGUCCACCACCAAAGAAAAGUCGGCGAUCAUUGUAGAUUUGUGUCAAACAAACCAUUAAGUCAAUAUGUCCUCAAAUGUACACAACAAUAAAUAUUACCCCCAAAACAUAAAUUCAUUCACCCAGUAUUUUACCUUUUUGGGCUUUUGAAACUGAACCAUACUCUGUUUCAGAUUAUUAGUAUUCAAUCCUUUGAUUGUCAUGUUCAAGGAACAAAUAUGACCUUUUCUAAUUACUGGGGAUGCCGUCAUAUCAAACACCUUUGGCUUGUCUCCAGAUUUGUGAUAAAAUUCCUUAACAAAGUAUUAAUCAGUAGAACUUUCAGUUAUAGAAAUUAUAAUUAAAUAUGGACAUUAAAAAAACAGAAGAAUGAAUUAAAAAGUUAAAACAAGUUGACAAAUGCUAUAUAAAAUAUAAAGAUAGAAACUUUCUGACUUCAAGUGAUGUUUACCUUCAUUAUUUUUGCAUAAGGGUGAUUACCAGUAGCACGGUGGCAUUCGUCAAGUAUCAACAAACAUAUGAUUUCCAAAUUCAAGAACGUUUUCCUCAAUGCAUCCAACAGAAUUUGAGGUGUCAUAACCAGCACCUGCAAGGUAAGCAGAAAGAAAACAAAAUAUGUACCACUAUUACAAUAUUCUCACUUCGCACUGACAUGUAGUUGGAAGAUAUAACAUUGCGUCAAGGAGACCUUUAUUAACUGACUGCUUCAUUCAUAAUUAAGCUAUAAAUUUUUUUACAACAGGGCAGUUGAAUAGAUAUGAAUUGCCUUCUUGAUUAUCUUCUCAAAGAAUUCAUGCUUCAGACCAUAUGGGGAAAAAGUGCAUUAAAGCUCAACCUUCAAUGUAAGUUAUUGCAGGGUUAUCAGUUUUGCCUUCCAAGAUCUCCAUACUUUGGUCUAAAAAAACAUAUCCUCUAAUGCUCAUUGUAUGUUUGAUAGGCUCAACCAUAAAAUGCCACCCAGUAUCAGCUUACAGGCUGUUAGUGGUUUCCAUAACCAUUUGUAGAUGCCCCAUAAGCAGUAGCAGCUGCAUACAUGUUUGGAUCCUGAUUCUGCGGCACAGUAUACUCAUAACCGUUGUACCCUUUCUUGCCUUAAUAAUUCCCGUUCCAUGGAUUUCCGGAAUCCAAUCUCAACUAUCAACCCAUUCAGAAAGGUAAACAAAUAAGCUACUUUCAUGAAAAUCUGAAGAAACUGAUCAUAAGUAAUAACUUUUGGAAAAGUUUGAUGGUAAGCUAAAGAGAAAUGGAAAGGAAUAAAUUGUAACUAAUCAUUGACUCAUUGUAGCUUUCUACUUUGCCAAUUUGAUAAACAAUUUUAAUUUUAUAUGCAGAUUACUUAAAAUACAUUCACAAUGAUAAACAAAUAAAGAAGUUAUUUUGCUUAUUUUUCAGAUAUCUUAAGAGCUUCAUGUGCCAUUCACAUGGAAAUGGAGAAGCUGAAUAAAAUACGUAUAUAGUCGAUUAAAGAUUAAAAAAAGGUACAUAUUUGUUCCCCGGACUUCGUCCCCAAGAUAGACGGACUGUCUGCUUGCCAAUAACAGUCCCGUUCAAUUGUUCAAUCCAAUCCUCAGCACUGGUUCUGUAUACAAAGUUAAGCAGAUGGGGAUCAUACAAUAGUUAUCAUGUCAACUGUACUAUUGCCACUAAGUUACUUUUAAAAUAACAGAAACAGUCAUUACUUCUGAGGUCUGGGAACCUGUUGCCCCCAGGAUAACACUUCUUAAGCUAAGAAAUUCAAAAUAAUUAGUUAUUCUAUAGUAAACACACGCAUCAUAGAUGGUGGGCCCUAGAAACAUUAAGUAUCCUGUCAACAUCAACAUCAAUAAUUCGAUACAAAGUAACUAAACUGCAGAGGAAUACCUAUUGGCAAAUUGUACAAAACCACAUCCUUUCCCAGCUGGUAUUUUCACAGAAACCACCUCGCCGAACUGCGAAAAGAUCUGUCUGAGUUCUUCAUCAGUUACAUCAGAAUCAAAAUGAAGGAAGAGUUCAGUAAAAUAUAAACAAUAACAUACGGUGGUUAGCAGUCCAUAUAAUACAUAAUAUAAUGCAUACAAAAUUCACCUUGACAUCAAAUGGGAGGUUGCCAACAAAAAUAGUGUCUGACUGACACUUACCCUAAACUACCAAAGACACUUACCCUAGGACUAAAGAGAAUUCUUAAGACUGACUGACUCUGCCUUAGGAUUUCCAUGCCUACACUGUCGAGCUAAGUAUUUAAGCAUCCAAUAGUUGUGACACCAUCGUAUAACUAAUACAUGAACCUAAAUAAUUGCAUCCUCUAGUGAUACAUGGUAACAGAUCAGGUAUGUUGGUGUUACCUCCUUACAGAAUGCAUGUGAACACCAGCAACAACCCACGUUAUGAUCUCUUAUCAUUUCACGCAUCAUUACUUAUGUCUGGUACGAUCAACACCGUAUUUAAUCAGCAAAGUCAUUUACAUGAAUAUUCUUUUUAGAUAAUAGAACUAUAUAAGUAAGAAAAAUCGGAUAAGGUCCAAGUAAACUGAAGCUAGAAAAAGUCCUAAAAAGAGGACCGACCUCCAAUCCUUAUACAUGAAGAUGAAACAAACAGUGAUUAUGCCUACUAAAUUUUACAAUAGAUCGUGCAUAUAAUUCAAUCAUAGCAUAAAAGAAUAUGUAAUGACUGAAAUAAAAUGAAGGGUACGAAGAAUUAUGCUAACAAACUAUAACUAAUCACAUACCAUUGGCAUAACCAUUCCCUUGCGCAAAUUGAUCAGUGGUUUAACAGCAGUCUCAUUUGUUACUCCAGGCUGACUCUGAAAUGGAUAAGUAUCAGUUACCCCAACUUUACACAUUUCACAUAUUGAGUAUCCGCUGCUUUUCCUCCUCCAUCAUCCUUUCUUGUACUUUCUUGAUGAAUUCUUCUUCCUUCAACCUUCCCCUUUGCUAUAACGAAAUCCAUUACCAGAGGAAAUGAAGCAAAAAUGGAAGCAUUAAAACAAACUAUAAUUCAUGAAAUGCCCUUAAUCAAGGAAAUGUUAUAAAUUCCAGAAAGUAUAAUAGCUUAACAAGUUUAAAGAAAACAAAAGAUGAUAGAAGAUGCUGACAUAAGGUAAGUCAGUUGAUUAGUAAUGAGAUCUUCAUUCAAGGAUGCAUGAGUUAAAACGUAAGCUUCCCUUUCUAAAUCUGUAAGUUUAACUGUUCAGUCUAAAACUAAGUAUUAUAAGAUGCUACCAUAACUAAUGGAAGCCUAAUAAAACUACUAAAGUAGGAAUUCAAGCUCACAGGUAAACCAAAUUAAACAUACCUCGGUUUUAAGAUUGAACGGUUUCUGGGAGGUAACUUUGUGAUGCCUCCUCUUCCAUUGCCUUCCACCAAAUGUCCCAGAUGAUUCAAGACUCUACAUUGAAUGUGAAUAAUAAUAUUAAUAAUUCGUCAUCAAAAAAGAUGCAUAUGAGUUCUCUCAAUCUCAAAUAUAGAAUGCACAAUAAUUCAUACAUUUCGUCUGCUCCUUUGACCACCACCAAAAUUCCUGCUUGAAACAGUAAAGCUUCAAAAUAUAAACAAUACCAAAAUCAGAAUCCAAAUCAAGGUGAUUAGGAAAAAAAAUAGAAAAAAAAUGAUGUUUUAAAUUUGUUCAUCAAUAAAUUUACUGAUACCAACCUUCCAUGGCUGCUAUCUAACGAAGAGCAAACCUGAGAGUUCAAUCCUAAACUAUCUGAUGUAAGGAAAAAAACUGAUGGACAGAAUGAAGAGGAUGAGACCUGUGUAUCAUUGAGCUGGGGUUGUUUGGGUUAGGGUUUUAGGUAAUGAUUUUAUAGGAGAAUUGGGAGAAUUCGGUAACGAUUAAACCAUGAAAAUAAAGAAAUUAAAUCCAGAAGAGUACUUACCAGACAAAUCAGUCUCCGAUUUCUGAGGCUUCUCCUCCCAAACCACCACAUCUUUACCUCCAAUCACAGGGAACAUCAAUUGCGGCGUAAACGGCGGCAGAAAACAGGAAUUAGUGGUUAAACCACGGCGAGCGAGCGGAGACGAGGCCAUAGAACUAGGCAAAGAGAAACGAGACUAGGCAAAGAGAAACGAGAGUGGCUAGGGUUUGCAGGAAGUAAACGGACUGGAGAGGGAGAACGCGAAAAGCGUAUAGUUAAAAUCAAAAAAAUGCCAUUUUAAAUAAAUAACGAUUUUUUAUAUAUAUUUAUACCGUUUUGUUAAAAAAGCGUUGUGGAAAAAAAUAUCACAAUGUUUUUUAUAAAAACGUUCUGAUUUAAGUGUUGUCUAUUUACUACUUUGUAGUAGUGAUCAUAACAUGUGUAACAAAUACUUGUAUAGCAUUCCAAAAAAAAUGUGAUUCAAUGCCAAACUAAUCAGCAUUGUAACUUUUUUAAUUUUUUUUUAAAAUCAAAUUUGUAAAAAAGAAGAAUAAGAUUUAACAUCACUUUAACUGACGUUGGAAUCUCUCUCUCUCUUUUUUUUUUAAUUUCUUUGAUCUCUUGUAAUUCUUUACAAACAUCAAUAUUUUUUUAUGUUUAUUCUCAGUCAUCGGCGUUGGAAAUGAAAGAGUAUAUAAGACUUCAACUAUAAAAAAAUAAAAAUAAAAAUUCUAACGCCAAUUAAAGUGACGUUACGUCUUACUCUUCUUUUUUACAAAUUCAUUUUUUUUAAAAAAAAUUAAAUAAAAUAGGAAUAAAAUUGAUAUUAUAUUAAUAUGGGUCAAACUAACUUAUUAGGAAUGACUUAUAAGUCAUUUUUAAAUAACUUUAUCCUGUUUUAGUUCAUAAAACAUAAUAAAUUUUUCUUCAUCUUUUAUGUUUUCUCUUAGAACUNNNNNNNNNNNNNNNNNNNNNNNNNNNNNNNNNNNNNNNNNNNNNNNNNNNNNNNNNNNNNNNNNNNNNNNNNNNNNNNNNNNNNNNNNNNNNNNNNNNNGGUAAAAGAAGAACUAGAAAUAGCUAGGGGUAUACCAUUACUAUUCUUCUUUUUAUAUUUUAUUUUUGGUUGAAAAAAAUAUGUUCAUGAUUUAAGUUACUCCUUCCGUCUAAGAAUAAAAGUUCUUAUUAUUUUAUGUAAUCUCAAGUUAAAUAUUUACUUAUAUUAAAUAAUCUAAUUUUUUUUACAAUAAUUUGUGCGUAAUAUCCUUAGUAUUAAAUGUCAUAUUUUUAUUAUUUAUAAAUAUUUAUAUAAUAUCACUAAUCAUGUAUAGAAAAAUAUACAAUUAGAUGAGAAUUUAAAUAUGUAUAAUUUUAUUAUUUGACAUUUUUUUAAAAUUCGCAUAAAAUCAAUCAUCACUUUCAUUCUCGGAGUGAGGGAGUACUUGUAAGUAUAUCCUACUUCUAUCUAGAAAUAGGAAACAUUGGGAAGCAUUGAAAUGGAUUUUCCCUUGCCACUACAGGCUGUAGCGACAUGAGAAAUUACUCAUUUGCUCAUGUGCUACACUAUCUACCGCUACAAGUUAUGACGGUAGUUUAGUUAACUAAUAAAUUAGAAUGGCUCAAUGGUAGCUUAAUGGCCCAAUAACCCAUAGGUCUUAGGUUCAAAACCUAACUGUGAUUUUUUUUGCUUCUUAUGCUAUAUUUUUUGUAUAUUAGAUAAAUUCUAUUACCAUAUAUAUAUAUAUACUCAUCUUAAAUAUAAUACAUAAAAAAUAUAGCACAUGAAGCAUAUAUGUAAAAUAACGAGUUACAAGAAAAAAUCAUAUAAAUUAUUUUAGAAAUUAAUUAUAUUUUUUUUCAAAAUUAUAAGUGUUCGAAUAUGAUCAUUAUAAACUACAUCUAAUUAACUACAAACUUUAAUUUUUGUAAAUUAGAAAAUAUAUCUAUAUGUGCCCAAUUUUAAUUUCAAAAAUUAUAACUUUAAAAAAAAUAAAAUUGGGCAUUUAUUUUGAGAUGGACGGAGUGAAACAUUUCACUGUAUAAAAUUGUAUCCAAAUAAAUAAAUAAAAUUUAAAUGAAAAAUGAUACGUUUUGGGGGGAACAAAAGAGGCAUGCUUAUUGGGUUUGUCUUAAUUUUGGACAAUAAUUUACUAGUCGUUGCAAAAAAAAUAUAUAUUAAAUACGCAACGAAAAAAAUUUGUUGCCAAUGAAUGUGGCCUAUAUUAGGUAACGAAAUAUAGCAACAAAAAAGUUUUCGUUGUCGACGAUGAGGAAAAAUCUCAUCGACAAAAAAAAAAAUAGGCGGUGUAUUUUUUUCCCGCAAACGAUUUGGCAACGAAUUUUUACAAUGACUUAUAAAUUUUGUUACAAAAAAUGAAAGCCUUUCAUAAACUGCAAUGAAUGACAAAUAAAGUCGUUGCCCAAAAAUUUGUUGUCAAAUGUCUAUUUUUUUGUAGUGUUUGUUUGGGAAAUAUUUUGCCUCCAUAUAAAAAUGUGACGUCAUUGCAUACUUUGUCACUAAAUAUAAGGAUUUAUGACGAACCAGUGUUGUCACUUAUCCACUCAUCUAAUUAGUGACGCACUAUUAUCUCGUCAUAUAAAAUUGGUAUCUGUGACAAUAAAAAUAGUCAUAAUUUAUUAAUUUGUCGACUUUACAAAAUUUUCCUCCAAAAGUUCUUAAAUUUUUUUUGCCUCCAAAUCAAAUUGUGACGAUAUUACAUACUUUGUCACUAAAUAUAACAAUUUGUGAUGAAACAUUUUUUGUCACUUAUCCACGUAGCUAAUUAGUGACGCACUAUUAUCUCGUCAUAUAAAAUUGGUAUUUAUGACAAUACAAAUUGUCAUAAAUUAAUAUUUUUUCGUAUUUAAAAAAUUUUCCUCCAAAUUUUUUCAGAAAAAUUUUGCCUCCAAAAAAAAUUGUGACGAUAUUACGUACUUUGUCACUAAAUAUAAGAAUUUAUGACGAACGAUAUUUGUCACUUAUCCACGCAUCUAAUUAGUGACGCACUAUUAUCUCGUCAUAUAAAAUUGGUAUUUAUGACAAUACAAAUUUUUAUAAAUUAUUAUUUUUUCGUCAUUAAAAAAUUUGCCUCCAAAAUUGUGACGAAUUUGUAUUUGGCGUCACUAAAUGUGAACAUUAGUGACGAAAGCACAUUGUCACUAAAUUUUACAAAUAAUUAAUGACAAAGUAUUAUGUUGUCAUUGAAAGAAAUAUUUUAUGACAAUAAAUAUUGUCAUCAAUUAUUACAAAAUGUCACUAAAAGGUUUCCCUCCAAAAUUUUGGUACGAAAUUCUACCUCCAAAAUAACUUGUGACGAAAUUUUAUUAAUCGUCGUCAAAUGUGUAAAUUAGUGACGAUAUAAACGAUUAAUAGUAACAAAAGUAAAAGUCGUCACAAAAGCAAAAGUUUUAGUGACGAUUAUGAAUUUUGUAAUUAUUAAUUAACAAAUUGUGACAAAAUUUUGUGCGUGGCAAAAAUUUUCGUCAUAAAAUGUGUGAUUUCUUGUAGUGCAUUAAUGUAUUUACUAAGUCUUUCAAAUAUGCAUUCUUUUCUUUUAAUCUAGCAUUUUCUUAUUUUAAGGAAUUAAAAUCAAAAUCAGAUACCUCGUUUGAUUCACCUUCAAUUCCCAUGAAGCAUACUUGAGCUAUCUCAUCCUUGGCGUUGACCUCAACCUCAGAUUCUUCUUCAUCACUCCAAGUGACCAGUGCCUUAUUUCUCUUAUUAUCCUUGAAGCCUGUUUUUCCUUUAUUCUUAAGUUGAAAACAGUACUUCUUGAAGUGCCCUGGUCGUCCACAUUUAAAACACGUCUCUUUAGUUUGUUUUCCUUUGCCUUUAUUUGAGUUGAAGAUAUUCUUUCGUUUAUUCUUCCUUUGUAGAAGUCCUUUGAGUCUCCUUGACAUCAUAGCUAUCUCUUUGUCAGAAUCAUCAUCAAGCUCUUCUUCAUUUCCUGCAUUAAGAGCUAGAACCUUUCUACGAGGAGUUUCCUACUCAUCGUCAUACCUCUUUAACUGAUGUUCAUAUUCCUCAAGUUCACCAAAAAGGGUUAGUGUGUCCAUAGUAGAUAUAGUAGAGGAAUCUUGAAGAGUAGUAAUUUUAGACGCAAACCUCUUGGGCAUAGCCCGAAGUAACUUACGAAUAAGCUCACUAUGUGGAAUAGAUUUGUCCAGUAGCUUUAAGGAGUUCAGAAGAAAAAGGAGCCUUGCUUGAGCCAUCUUUAUAGUUUCAUCUUUCUCAAGUUUGAACAUUUCAUAAUCAUGCAUGAGCAUGCUUAGUUUAACUUCUCAAACUUUUGAUGUUUCUUCAUGACUUACCACUAGGGUGUCCCAAAUUUCCUUAGCUGUGUUGCAUGAUGAUACUUUAUCAAUCUCGGACUGCACCAUGCCACUUAGUAAAGUAUUCAUAGCCCUUGAAUCAUAGGAAACCAUGAAGGUCUCAGUUGAAUCCAUCUCUAGCAGAGUCUUUGGAGUAUCGUCAUCUUUCCUUGGAAUAACUGGUCCAUUCUCCAUAACCCACCAUUCCCAAGGAUCUCUUUUAAGGUAGAUCCUCAUUCGUAAUUUCCAAAAGUUGUAGUUUUCUGUUCCAUACAGCAGUGGAGGUCUAUUGGUUGAUUGACCUUCUUGAUUGUUGUUCCCGAACUGUGCCAUGUCAGAAUCUUUCCCUACAAGUCACCUUUAAGACCAAGUAAGUAGACCAAGCUCUGAUACCAAAUGAAAUUUAGAUAAGGCACACUUAGAAGGGGGGUUGAAUAAGUAUGGAUUCAAACUAUGACCAAUUUAAGAAUUUUAAACCAAAUUAUUGAAUAUAGCCUACUAUAUUGAUGAAUGCAGCUUGCUGAAUGAAUAUGGUCUACCGAAUUAAAUUUUUGUUUAAGAAAAUAUCUUAGUGAUUUUAUAAGUUAAAUAGAAUAUUUAAUGUUAACAAAAAUUCUCACGAUGAAACAAAUAAUUAAAUUUUAUUAAGCAAAUCAAUUAUCUUGAAUGAUAUAAAGUUAAAGAAAGUAAUAAAAAUAACACCAAGAUUUUUUACGUGGUUCAGCUAUUACCCUCUAUAAUAAUAGCCUAAUCCACUUCCAAUACCAACUAGUAUUGGAGACUCACUUUUAUUUCUUUAAAAGACCCUUGUUACAAAUCAGAUUCUAUAAAAUUGAAUCACAACAAUUCACUUGAGCACUCUUGCUCCUUGUGCACCAAUGCACUCCUUAAGCACCUAUGCUUCCUUGAACCUGUUUGUAAACAAACCUUAAUCCACCUGGAUUAAAUUCCCUUAGACAACACUUAGCCUAAAAAAAAUUAAGAUUACAAUAAUAGAGGUCUAAUGAUCAAAGCAAAUAAACAAUUUAACAAUGCAAGGCUCAACUAGUGAAUGCAAUGAUCAAGUAAUAAAAGAUAGAUAUCACCAAUAUGAAGCUCACGAAAGUUGACUAAAAAUAUCAAUUGAUCAGCAGCUCAAGAUUUGCACCAAGAAUAGAAUAGCUUUCCAAGUAUGUGAGUGCAAAAUAUUAAUUCAAGUGUUGUAAGUGUUGUGUUUUCUACUGAAAUCAAUUCUUCUUUUUAUAGCCCAGAAAACAACCGUUGUGAAAUAAAAAAUAUUUCUGUUGCCAAUUUUGUUCCGUUAUAACCAACAGAUUCAAAGAGAUAAAUAACAUUCCAAAAAUAUUCCCGUUUGAAAAAUAAUUACGUUGCCACAGAUAAACUUUGUAUAACGUUUCAAUAAAAAAUUCAAUUGACUUCAGAUAUUUAGAAGAUGCUGAACUCUAUCAGUUAUUGACUAGAGAGAGACCAAGUCACAUAAAUAACUUUAUAGGCUUAAGACUUAUCCAAUACCUCUAGUAAUUAUGAUUUCAUAAAGUCUGCCGCCACUAAUAUAGCAACCGAAACAAGGAAUAACAUUUAAAAUAGGAGAGAGAUAUGAACCAACUAUUCAAGAUAAUGAUUAUCUUACAUUUCCAAGAUAUACAUGUAACUCAACUUUUGAGAGUAAUCAUAUCUUUGCCAACACACUCCAACAACUUUUAAUCUUCCAAAAUACAAAUAUUAUAACAUCAGUACACAUAGAAAAAAAAUAAUUCGGACAAUACUUUCUAUGCAUAUAUAAAUACUAACCAUGUAAAAAUCAAUUCUUUUAAUAACAGUUAGCAAUAUAUAAAAUGCUUAGUCAUGCUCAAAUUAUUUAAUCCGGACAAUAAACUAAUUUUCCCUUUUACGCAUGCAUAUAAAUACUAAUCAAUUAAUAACAGUUAACAAUGUAACAUACUUAGGCAUGCACACAAAAAAAAUAUUUAAUUAAAUGCAUAAAUAAUAUGUCCUAGAGCCUUGUAUUGAAAAAUUAAAUAUUUGCAAUGACCUUACAUAUUUUUCUUAAGACUCAAAAUUCUUCAAUCUUCUUGAAUAAUCCAUCAAAUAAUUCUUGAAACAAUUUCCUGAAAUUCACAAUAAAGAAUUUAGUACCAAUGAACAAGUCAUCAUCAAAACAUUAGGUUAUUAGAACGUGAUAUAAUCAACAUGUGUGUACUAUUGAUUCACAUUCAUUUACUAUUAGGGGAGUUGGUGCAAGAUUGAUAAUACUUGCAUGACUAAGUUAAAAAUGAAGGUAUAGAUAGAGGUACUAUACUGUAAUUUGUAUUUUCACAUGUCUAGAACUAUUGAUUCACAUGAUUUACUAUUGAUUCACAUGAUUUACUAUUAGGGGAGAUGGUGCAAGUUUGAUAAUACUUACAGGACUAAAUUAAAAAUGAAGAAAAAGAGGAAGCUAUUAUACUGUAAUAUUUCGAGCCCCAAAAUGUGCAAUUAUUGAAACCAUAUUUUCCUAUAAAUAGAAGCUCAUUCAUCCUUCAUUUCUCACUAAUUCACUAAGUCUCACAAGAGCAAUUAUAGAGAUAGAAGCUAUAGAGAGAGAAGCUAUAGAGAGAAAGAAGAAGUGAAGUCUGCUACUUCACUACUCCAGUAUCCAGUUUCUUCUAAGGUAAGGGAUAUUAUUAUUAUUAUAGUAAAGGGUAUUAUUCUUUCGUAUUCAUGAAUAGAGUUAUUUUCUAUCAAUACUCGUAAGGGUUGUUAUUCCAUUCUUUAUUAUUAUGUUGGAAUAACCUGUUUAUGCGAAGUACCGCAUACAUGGUGAAAUUCUUCUGUUAUUCCAUUCUUUAUUAUUCUGUUGGAAUAACCUGUCUGUGCGGUCUAUUGCAUGCCUGGUGAAUUNNNNNNNNNNNNNNNNNNNNNNNNNNNNNNNNNNNNNNNNNNNNNNNNNNNNNNNNNNNNNNNNNNNNNNNNNNNNNNNNNNNNNNNNNNNNNNNNNNNNNNNNNNNNNNNNNNNNNNNNNNNNNNNNNNNNNNNNNNNNNNNNNNNNNNNNNNNNNNNNNNNNNNNNNNNNNNNNNNNNNNNNNNNNNNNNNNNNNNNNNNNNNNNNNNNNNNNNNNNNNNNNNNNNNNNNNNNNNNNNNNNNNNNNNNNNNNNNNNNNNNNNNNNNNNNNNNNNNNNNNNNNNNNNNNNNNNNNNNNNNNNNNNNNNNNNNNNNNNNNNNNNNNNNNNNNNNNNNNNNNNNNNNNNNNNNNNNNNNNNNNNNNNNNNNNNNNNNNNNNNNNNNNNNNNNNNNNNNNNNNNNNNNNNNNNNNNNNNNNNNNNNNNNAUAUAUAUAUAUAUAUAUAUUAAAAUAUUCAUAGUUACGUUAUAUAAAUAUUCAUAUUUACUUUAUAUAUAUUUAGUUUAAUGUGGAAAUUUAAGAUGGGUAUAUAUAUAUAUAUAUAUAUAUAUAUAUAGAUGGUAAUAGAAUUUUUCUAAUACAAAAAAAAGGCAAAAACACUUUUACACGACUAUGGUUGUAGUAUUUUAACCAAUUAGCCACUGUGCUUUUAAAAUAUUCAAUUAGCUUAUUGUACUUUUUAAAAAUGUUCAAUCAACCCAUUCUGUCCAAUUUCUUGGACGGACGUUAAAUAAUUACACACGUGGCAUUGAAAAAAAAAUAAAAAAUUAUUAUUUUCUGAUGUGGCAACACAAAAAAAUAAAAUAAAAUAAAAUUAUUAAUUAUGUGGCAUGUACAAUACAUGUUGACUUUAUAUUUAACUAUAUAAGACCAAAAUUUUUAAGUUUUUUAACUGACUUUAUAAGUAUUUUAAAAUAUAAAAGUAUUUUUAUUUUUAUUUUUAAAAUAAGACAUACAUAUUAUAUAUAUAUAUUAUAUUAUUAAAUUUUAUUAAUAUUAUACAUAUUAUAAAUAUUUAGGUAAAGAAAAAGAAAGAAAAUAAAACAUAAAAAUAUAUUUAUUUUAUAAGUAUUUUAAAACAUAAAAGUAUUUUUAUUUUUAUUUUAAAAUAAGACAUACAUAUUAUAUAUAUAUUAUAUUAUUAAUUUUUAUUAAUAUUAUACAUAUUAUAAAUAUUUAGGUAAAGAAAAAGAAAGAAAAUUUCAUUAUUUCUUUAUGUUUAUAAAUAUUAAUUUAUAUAUGUUUAUAAUUUGCAUUAUUUCUUUUUUGUCUAAAAAUUUCAAAAAAAAAAUUGGUCUUAUACAGUUAAAUAUUAGCCGCGUCAGCCCGUGAUCUGCCACGUAGACGCCACGUACACAGGUCAACGCACAUAUAUCACUUUAAAAUUCCAAUUAAAGUGAUAUAUUAUAAUGAUAUCACUUAAAAUUCAUCAAAUUAUUAUUAUAAAUAUUGUCAUUAAUAUAUGUCAUAUUUAAAAUUUAUCUAAUAAAUUAUUUAUAAAUUUAGUUNNNNNNNNNNNNNNNNNNNNNNNNNNNNNNNNNNNNNNNNNNNNNNNNNNNNNNNNNNNNNNNNNNNNNNNNNNNNNNNNNNNNNNNNNNNNNNNNNNNNUUCUUUAUUAUUCUGUUGGAAUAUCCUGUCUGUGCGGAUUAUGCAUAACCUGGUUCUAUUCUUUAUUAUUCUGUUGGAAUAACCUGUUUGUGUGGUCUACCGCAUGCUUGGUGAAUUCAUUUAUUAUUCCAUUCUUUAUUAUUCUGUUGGAAUAACAUGCACUACAAAAAAAUGGGCCUUUAGCAACGAUUUUUCGGGCAACGACUUUAUAAGUCGUUGCUAAAAGUAUAUGUUUAGCAACGAAAUUUGUCCUUCGUUGCAGAUUGUGUCAGGCUUUCACUUUUUGCAACGAAAUUAAUAAGUCGUAAAAUUUCGUUGCUAAUUCAUUGGCGGGAAAAAAAUUCGUUAGAAAUUCGUUGAAAAAUUUUCGCCCACUUGAUUUCUCGUCGUCGUGGGCAAUGAAAGUUUUUUUGUUGCUAAAAAUGGGGCUUUAGCAACAAUUUUUCAAGCAACGGCUUUAUAAGUCGUUGCUAAAAGUGUAUGUUUAGCAACGAAACUUGUCCUUCGUUGCAGAUUGUGUCAGGCUUUCACUUUUUACAACGAUAUUCAUAAGUAGUUGCAAAAUUUGGAAACAAAAUUCGUUANNNNNNNNNNNNNNNNNNNNNNNNNNNNNNNNNNNNNNNNNNNNNNNNNNNNNNNNNNNNNNNNNNNNNNNNNNNNNNNNNNNNNNNNNNNNNNNNNNNNGUAUUUUAAAAUAUAAAAGUAUUUUUAUUUUUAUUUUUAAAAUAAGACAUACAUAUUAUAUAUAUAUAUUAUAUUAUUAAAUUUUAUUAAUAUUAUACAUAUUAUAAAUAUUUAGGUAAAGAAAAAGAAAGAAAAUAAAACAUAAAAAUAUAUUUAUUUUAUAAGUAUUUUAAAACAUAAAAGUAUUUUUAUUUUUAUUUUAAAAUAAGACAUACAUAUUAUAUAUAUAUUAUAUUAUUAAUUUUUAUUAAUAUUAUACAUAUUAUAAAUAUUUAGGUAAAGAAAAAGAAAGAAAAUUUCAUUAUUUCUUUAUGUUUAUAAAUAUUAAUUUAUAUAUGUUUAUAAUUUGCAUUAUUUCUUUUUUGUCUAAAAAUUUCAAAAAAAAAAUUGGUCUUAUACAGUUAAAUAUUAGCCGCGUCAGCCCGUGAUCUGCCACGUAGACGCCACGUACACAGGUCAACGCACAUAUAUCACUUUAAAAUUCCAAUUAAAGUGAUAUAUUAUAAUGAUAUCACUUAAAAUUCAUCAAAUUAUUAUUAUAAAUAUUGUCAUUAAUAUAUGUCAUAUUUAAAAUUUAUCUAAUAAAUUAUUUAUAAAUUUAGUUNNNNNNNNNNNNNNNNNNNNNNNNNNNNNNNNNNNNNNNNNNNNNNNNNNNNNNNNNNNNNNNNNNNNNNNNNNNNNNNNNNNNNNNNNNNNNNNNNNNNCAUUUAUUAUUCCAUUCUUUAUUAUUCUGUUGGAAUAACAUGCACUACAAAAAAAUGGGCCUUUAGCAACGAUUUUUCGGGCAACGACUUUAUAAGUCGUUGCUAAAAGUAUAUGUUUAGCAACGAAAUUUGUCCUUCGUUGCAGAUUGUGUCAGGCUUUCACUUUUUGCAACGAAAUUAAUAAGUCGUAAAAUUUCGUUGCUAAUUCAUUGGCGGGAAAAAAAUUCGUUAGAAAUUCGUUGAAAAAUUUUCGCCCACUUGAUUUCUCGUCGUCGUGGGCAAUGAAAGUUUUUUUGUUGCUAAAAAUGGGGCUUUAGCAACAAUUUUUCAAGCAACGGCUUUAUAAGUCGUUGCUAAAAGUGUAUGUUUAGCAACGAAACUUGUCCUUCGUUGCAGAUUGUGUCAGGCUUUCACUUUUUACAACGAUAUUCAUAAGUAGUUGCAAAAUUUGGAAACAAAAUUCGUUAGAAAUUCGUUGCAAAAUUUCUAACCACUUGAUUUCUCCUCAUCGUGGGCAACGAAANNNNNNNNNNNNNNNNNNNNNNNNNNNNNNNNNNNNNNNNNNNNNNNNNNNNNNNNNNNNNNNNNNNNNNNNNNNNNNNNNNNNNNNNNNNNNNNNNNNNACGUGGCAUUGAAAAAAAAAUAAAAAAUUAUUAUUUUCUGAUGUGGCAACACAAAAAAAUAAAAUAAAAUAAAAUUAUUAAUUAUGUGGCAUGUACAAUACAUGUUGACUUUAUAUUUAACUAUAUAAGACCAAAAUUUUUAAGUUUUUUAACUGACUUUAUAAGUAUUUUAAAAUAUAAAAGUAUUUUUAUUUUUAUUUUUAAAAUAAGACAUACAUAUUAUAUAUAUAUAUUAUAUUAUUAAAUUUUAUUAAUAUUAUACAUAUUAUAAAUAUUUAGGUAAAGAAAAAGAAAGAAAAUAAAACAUAAAAAUAUAUUUAUUUUAUAAGUAUUUUAAAACAUAAAAGUAUUUUUAUUUUUAUUUUAAAAUAAGACAUACAUAUUAUAUAUAUAUUAUAUUAUUAAUUUUUAUUAAUAUUAUACAUAUUAUAAAUAUUUAGGUAAAGAAAAAGAAAGAAAAUUUCAUUAUUUCUUUAUGUUUAUAAAUAUUAAUUUAUAUAUGUUUAUAAUUUGCAUUAUUUCUUUUUUGUCUAAAAAUUUCAAAAAAAAAAUUGGUCUUAUACAGUUAAAUAUUAGCCGCGUCAGCCCGUGAUCUGCCACGUAGACGCCACGUACACAGGUCAACGCACAUAUAUCACUUUAAAAUUCCAAUUAAAGUGAUAUAUUAUAAUGAUAUCACUUAAAAUUCAUCAAAUUAUUAUUAUAAAUAUUGUCAUUAAUAUAUGUCAUAUUUAAAAUUUAUCUAAUAAAUUAUUUAUAAAUUUAGUUAUAUUUUGCACCAGUUAUUAAAAUUAUUUAUUAAAAAAUAAAGUUUAAGUUGCUUUAAAUAAACUAUAAUGAAGAGAUUUUAUAUCUAGUUGUUCUAUUAUAUCAAUAAUUGGUGAUUAUCGAGAGCAUAAGUUAAAAAGCUACGAAGAGCUCUCAAGGGAAGUGUAUACAUGUAUCAGGCUAUAUUUAUUUACGUCUGAAUGCAUCUGAAUGAGUUUUAGUUUGACCGAAUAAGUCAUUAGACUAUUUGUUUUACAUUUGUUUGAGUCAUAAUUGAAUUCUACUUGUUUGAUUUAUUAUUUAUUUAAGUAUAUGCAUAUGUGUGCUCACUACAAGAAAUUGAGGCUCUUGCAAAGGAAUUUUUGCGAGUGAAUUGUUUCCUUCUCAAAUAAGCCUUUUUUGUGAGGGACUAAUGAAGAAAAUUUUUAUUUAUGAAAUAAAUUUUAUUCACANNNNNNNNNNNNNNNNNNNNNNNNNNNNNNNNNNNNNNNNNNNNNNNNNNNNNNNNNNNNNNNNNNNNNNNNNNNNNNNNNNNNNNNNNNNNNNNNNNNNGUUGCCUAAUAUGGACCACAUUUAUUGGUAACAAUUUUUAUUUUUGUUACAUAUUUUAUACAACUUUUUACAAUGACUAUUAAAAUGUUGCCUUUAAUAAUAAUAAUAAUAAUAAUAAUAAUAAUAAUAAUAAUAUAAAGUGACUAUGAAUAUUUUUUUUAAUAUAUAUAUAUAUAUAUAUAUGUAAACAAAUAUUCAUAUAAAUAUUUAUAAAUUUAUCUCUAAAUAUUCAUAUAAAUAUUUAUAAAAAGUAUUCAUAUCUAAAUUUUAGAUGAAAUAUUUAUAAAUUUAUAAAAAAAUAUUUGUUUAUAAAUUUUAAAGAUAAAUUUAUAUGAAUAUUUGUUUAUAAAUAUGUAUAUGAAUAUUUAGAGAUAAAUUUAUAUAUAUAUAUAUAUAAAUAUAUAUAUUAAAAUAUUCAUAGUUGCGUUAUAUAAAUAUUCAUAGUUACUUUAUAUAUAUUUAGUUUAAUGUGGAGAUUUAAGAUGUGUAUAUAUAUAUAGAUGGUAAUAGAAUUUAUCUAAUACACAAAAAAUAUGAGAAGCAAAAAUAUCAUAGUUAGGUUUUGAACCUAAGACCUAUGAGUUAAUGGGUCAUUAAGCUACCACUAAGUCAUUCUAAUUUAUUAGUUAAUUGAACUAACGCCAUAACUUGUAAUCUCCAAUAUUUUUAAAUUUAUUCUACUGAUAUAUAUAUAUAUAUAUAUAUANNNNNNNNNNNNNNNNNNNNNNNNNNNNNNNNNNNNNNNNNNNNNNNNNNNNNNNNNNNNNNNNNNNNNNNNNNNNNNNNNNNNNNNNNNNNNNNNNNNNUAAUGAUAUCACUUAAAAUUCAUCAAAUUAUUAUUAUAAAUAUUGUCAUUAAUAUAUGUCAUAUUUAAAAUUUAUCUAAUAAAUUAUUUAUAAAUUUAGUUAUAUUUUGCACCAGUUAUUAAAAUUAUUUAUUAAAAAAUAAAGUUUAAGUUGCUUUAAAUAAACUAUAAUGAAGAGAUUUUAUAUCUAGUUGUUCUAUUAUAUCAAUAAUUGGUGAUUAUCGAGAGCAUAAGUUAAAAAGCUACGAAGAGCUCUCAAGGGAAGUGUAUACAUGUAUCAGGCUAUAUUUAUUUACGUCUGAAUGCAUCUGAAUGAGUUUUAGUUUGACCGAAUAAGUCAUUAGACUAUUUGUUUUACAUUUGUUUGAGUCAUAAUUGAAUUCUACUUGUUUGAUUUAUUAUUUAUUUAAGUAUAUGCAUAUGUGUGCUCACUACAAGAAAUUGAGGCUCUUGCAAAGGAAUUUUUGCGAGUGAAUUGUUUCCUUCUCAAAUAAGCCUUUUUUGUGAGGGACUAAUGAAGAAAAUUUUUAUUUAUGAAAUAAAUUUUAUUCACAAUAUGUAAUUAGUGACAAUUAUUUUGUUAGGAAAAAAUUCUUCAUUGCUUUGCUUGAAGUAAAUCUUAGAGAAUCAAUGAUAUAUUUUCACAAAAAUAUUUCUAAUUUUAAAUAUAGAUAUUAAAUUAAUAUAAAAUAAUUUUUAAAAUUAUAAGUAUAUAUUCUAUUAAAGGUACAUGUUAAUCAUUUUAAUUACAUUAACUAAAGUUUAAAAUUAUAAACUAUAUUUGGUAUACAUUGAGACCAAAUACAUAAGAAAAUUACUAAAGUUUAAUUACAUAUUUUAAAGUUACUAAUAUUUAACUAGGGAAAUUGAUAUGUUCAUAAGAAAAUUUGAUAGUUCUACAAGUCUCUUAUCACAUUAAUUAGUAAAUGAGACCCACAUUUAUGUGAAUAAAAAUUUGUAAAAAUAUCAAAAUUGCUUUGUAAAAAUAACAAUUCCUUUUAACCAAUAAGAAUUUAAUAUAUUUUAAAAGGGCUAGUAUUUUGGAAUUUAACAUAAUUUUUUGUUGCCAUCAAUUUUUUUAUUCAAAAAAAUAAUUAUUUAUCAAAUUAUAAGAAAAAGUCUCUCCUGCAAAAACAACCCUUUUUUCAUACAAUCAACUCCUUUUUUUAAGUACAAUUUGGAGCUUUUGUUGGUUGCUGCUAGGAGUGAGCAAAAAACGGAUAAAAUCGAAUUACUGAAUCGGACCAAAUUUUUUUAACCGAAUUAUUUCGGUUUUUCGGUUUUUUUUACAAUUUCGGUUAUAUUCGAAUUAUUACUCAGUAUUCGGUUACGGUUUCAGUUUUUAAAAUACAGGAUAUUAGGGUAUCCGAAUAACCGAACCUUAAUAUUUUAAAAAAAUUAAUUUUAUAAUAUUAUUAUUAUCUACUAUCUAAGACUAUGAGUCUAUGACCGGGUCCAUUUCAGGAGAGCAGAUCAUCUGUCCCUAAAUUCUCUGUCCCCUUGUGUCUCUCCAUUUAAAUUUUGACAUAUAGUCUCUUAUUUAACACUAAUUAAUUUUAAAAUUAAAUAAAAAGAUAUGUGUCAAAAUUUAAGUGGGGGACACAAAGGGACAGGGAAUUUGGGAAUUUGGGGACAGAGGAUCUGCUCUCCCAUUUCAGAUCCCAUUUUGCCCUAGCCCUUAGCCCGCUCCUCAGCCUCUUCUCUUCAGUCUUCACUUUUGCCAGUUAAGUCUCGAGUCUUUCCAGUUGCCACUGCCCUCUUGAGUCUUGACCGUCGCCUCUCUCCGGCCUCCGCCUCUCGGCUCUCAAAUGCGCCUCGGCCGACGGCCUCUUGAGUCUCGAAAUUGGUAUUGAUGACAGAUUGACCGGGUCAGAAUUUUUCGUCAAUUUAUCGACUCGAGUGUCAAGUGUUCAACAAAUAAUAUCAAAUAAUUGGUCCAAAUAUAUAUUGAGCAAGUUAAAGCUUAUUGUUUUCAUGGGCCAUAUAUUUUUGCUUCAAGUUAUCAGAACAUAUUCAUUUGUAUGGAAUAUUCAAGUGGGAUUACAUAAUCAGCACCAUUCACGUGGCCUUCUCAUUACUUUACAUGAACCUUAACAUGCAAUCCGACUCAGGUGGGGAAAGGAGUUAGUCUCGCGUUAAAGAAUCCUACGCGGCAACGAAUUUUUUUUAUUUAUUUGAUUUCUUAAUUUUAAAUUCUAUUAUUAGGAUUUCUUUUAAUUUCUUUUCCAAAUUGAUUUCUAUUUUCUUAUAGAAAUUAGGGUUAUAACUUAUAAAUUCUUAUUAGGAUUUGGAUUGUUUUGAGUACUAUAAAUAGAGGUCCAAGUUAUGUAAUCAAACACAUUAACAUUAUUAUUAUUCAAUAUAUUUGUGAGUUUAUUCUCUACUUUUGGUUCUUUGAAGAAUUCCUAAGAAAUUAGUAGUUUCUUAGUUUUUUAUUUGAGAUUCAAUUUUGACUUAUCAUACAACAAUUCAUAGUUGUGUGUGGCGUCUUCUACCGCAUCAAUCGUCGAUUGUACCGAGAUUACCGCUUCAAUAUAAGCGAGGGGUCAAGGUGUCGUUGGUGUCCAUUCAACGCAGAUUUCCAAACGCGAGCAAUUGUACCAAGAUUACCGUCUAAAGUAUAGACGAGGGGUUAAGGUGUUGCAAGCAAUUCACCCAACAACUGUGCUAGAAACGGUCCAGGCGACGACCACCUCACGCAAGCGUGCCGUGGAGUCUAUCAUUUGGUAUCAAAGCUAAGCCUUUCUAGCAAGUUACUUAUCUUUAAUUUUCUGUCGAAAUAUAUAUUGUAAAAAAAAAGAAAAAAAGAAACAAAAAAAAAGAGCAAAAAAGAAAAAAAGGAAAAGAAAAAAAUUCAUAUUCUAUUGUGCUAACCCAAUUUGUAGCACACCAUCAAAUCAUCAAAUUCCAAUCAAGAGUUCAUACCGUUCCAUCAUCAUAAAUUCUGAAACGGAGCUAUAAUUUACAAAUCUGACGCAUACAAGAGGAGUACAAGACAAUCGAUCGGUGAUUUUGUGAUAUUCUAAUAGUUACACCAUCUAUAAUUUUGUUUCGUGAUAAGUAAUUUUUGAAUUGAUUAGUAAAACCAAGAAUUUUGCUAGGAGAAUUCAAGAAGAACCUAUUAGAGAGAAUAUUAGAGGUAAAAGGCAAGAGUGUAAGAUUAUUAGAGGGUAAAAGCCAAAUUUGAGUGAUACACGAGUGAUUCGUCAUUAUUUGAGCGAAACACGUAAGGGAGUGUGUGAGGAAAAUUUUUAUCUCCUAACCUUUGUUUUACAGCAAACAUGUAUGGCUACAAUUAUGAAAGUUAUUAUGGGUCUUGAAGGAAUACUGUCCAAGGCAAUAUUGAUACAGAGGCAUAUCUGAGACGGGAGAGAAAAAUGGAGCGAGAAUUUGACUUUCAUGAUUACUCCGAGAGGAGGAAGGUCAGACGGGCAAUUCAAGAGUUCUCCGAUCAUACAAUUAUAUGGUGGCAGCUUAUCAAACAAAAAUAUGGGGAGCGUCCGUUCGAGACAUGGACAGAAUUAAAAUCAGCAAUGAGAAAACGCUUUGCUCCAGUACAGCGUGACAGGAGGGAGGAGUAUACAUCUCAAAGACAUGUAGAGCAAUCUUCAAGGCGAUUUACAGUAGACAAUAAUAGGAGUGUUCGCACACAAGUAAACAAGGAAGAUUAUUGGGUGCAACUACAAUAUACUUCUAAGGCGCAAAAGAAACAAGAUCAGCGGGGGGAGGUGGAAGAAAUUAUAGAAUAUGCAGUCCAAGGAGAGUUAUUGGGUUCGAGUGUUCAAGAUGAAAUCCAUGAUCUAAAGCAAGAUGGUGAACAUCCGAAAGAAAGUAAUCAAGAAGAUGAGUUCGUACAAGGAAAUACAUGUGGAAAAGAUCGACAAAAAGAAAUUGUUCGAAAGAUUGAUAAUGUUAAAGAAAAAAUUGAAAGGAGUGAGAAUGAAAAGAAAAGAGAGAUUGAGAAUAAAGAGAAUGAGAGUGACCUUGAAAACAAACGAGAGAAAAACAAACGAGAGGGUGAGCAUAAAGAAGAGAAAGAAGAAAUAUGUGACUAUGAAAAAGAGAGUGAGUUGAAAAGUGAGUUAUAUUUUGAAAAGCCAAUGACUGUACAUUCGUACAAGAUGGCGCUUUUGAAUACUAACACUAAUGAUUCUUCUUUGUCUAGUUUUGUUUUGUCUCUUGUACAGGUUGUUGAUGAAAUACCCCGUAAUAUCAUUCCGUACCGAUCAGGAGUUACCAAGGCGGGUUGGAGAGUUGGUGAAAGUGGGUAUCGUGAGAGAAGACAUGAGUUCAUGUGUUGAUUAUGAGAUCAUAGUAUCUAAGGAGGAUGGGAUAACGAGUUUGUUCGUUGAUUUUGAAUUGGUAGACAAGUAUCGUUAUUCUUUUCAAUAUUUAGAUAAUAUGUUUGAUAAAUUGCAUAGUUCUUAUGUUUUAUCUACAUGUGAUAAUGAUCAUGUGAUGAUAAUGCCUAAUCAAUUUAGCACGAGAGAUUGUGAUAAAUGGAAAAUUAUUUUCGCAUGUGAGUUAUAUAGGUGGUUAGUUAUUUCUGUUAGAUUAACUGAUGCAUCUAGUGUUUUCAUGAGUUAUUUAAAAUAUGUUUUGCAUGCUUCCAUUGGAUUUGUUGUUAGCUAUUUUGUGGGUAGAAUCAUCUAUAUCAUAAAUUAUGGUGGAUACUUGAUAUUUGUUGAGUUAGUUUAUGAUCAUGAUAUAUAUUCUCGUUUUCGAUGUGUUUACUUGCAUGAAAUUAAUUCUAGGUUUUGUUGUCUAGAUAUUGACUUAGGGUUUCAUGCUAGUCAAUCUUUACAUGAAUUGUCGUUAGUUGACAAUGGUAGUAAUCAUGUUGUUUCGUUGGAGCAGUCUUCAUUGCAUGAUUUGCUAUCAUAUGGUUUUGAUUCAAGAAGUGUUUAUCAUCAAGAUGGUUUGAGAGAUGAGUUAUUUGCAUGUUUAGUUCGUUCACUUAGAUUAGCUCAGGCAUUGCAUACUUCCAUGGAAUUGUUGAAUUAUAUUUUGAAUUCUUUCAUGGAAAAAUUUGUUAUUCUCUAUUUUGAUGAUAUUCCGAUUUUUGUCAACACUUUGGGAAUUUCUUUAGCAUGUGUAGAGUUUGUUUGUGAUCAUCGUCGAUAUGCUAUUGAAUUUUCAACUUAUGAUUGUGACCUUUUUACUCCAUUGAUAACAUUAUUUGUUCUUUAUUGUAUUAAUGCCAAUGGAAAGAGGGAGGUUGGUUGUGUUUUGCAGAUUCGUGAUAGGAGCAUAUUCAUUGAGGGAAACAUGGAUCGUGCAAUUCAAUUCGAUCAAUGCAUUGAGAGUUUACAGGGAAGUAUUUUGAAUAUUGUUAUAAGUAGACUAUGCAUGUGAUUUUGAUUUAUUUGAUUCCUUUAUGAUUAGACAAAAGGAACUUAUUGAUUUGUUUUGUUUUGUGUUUAAUCCAGGAAUUCAAGAGAAUUUGUGUGAGAAGCAUGACGAAUUUGAAGUACUUAUAUUUAACCCAGGAGCAUUGACAAAUGUGUUUCUGCGAAGGAUCGAGAUCAUUAGAUCAACUUUUGAUCCGGGAAUUCGUCAUUGGGAGAAUCUAUUACACGAAGAAAUCUACAUAAUGAUAUUUGAUCCAGGAGGAGUUGGAAAUUUUCAAUUUCUUGCUUGCGUUGCUGAUAUUGUUUAUUCAUUUAAAUUACCAGGAGAGACUUGUGGUUAUGUUUUGUUUGGUGAUUCUAACUUUGUUUUAAUGUAGGAUCAAAUUUGUGGACAAAACUUUUUCAAGGGGAGCGGAUGCCAUAUUUGAGGACAAAUCCUUUUGAAGAGGAGGGGAAUGAUGACAGAUUGACCGGGUCAGAAUUUUUCGUCAAUUUAUCGACUCGAGUGUCAAGUGUUCAACAAAUAAUUGGGCCAAAUAUAUAUUGAGCAAGUUAAAGCUUAUUGUUUUCGUGGGCCAUAUAUUUUUGCUUCAAGUUAUCAGAACAUAUUCAUUAGUAUGGAAUAUUCAAGUGGGAUUACAUAAUCAGCACCAUUCACGUGGCCUUCUCAUUACUUUACAUGAACCUUAACAUGCAAUCCGACUCAGGUGGGGAAAAGGAGUUAGUCUCGCGUUAAAGAAUCCUACGCGGCAACGAAUUUUAUUUAUUUAUUUGAUUUCUUAAUUUUAAAUUCUAUUAUAAUUAGGAUUUCUUUUAAUUUCUUUUCUAAAUUGAUUUCUAUUUUCUUAUAGAAAUUAGGGUUAUAACUUAUAAAUUCUUAUUAGGAUUUGGAUUGUUUUGAGUACUAUAAAUAGAGGUCCAAGUUAUGUAAUCAAACACAUUAACAUUAUUAUUAUUCAAUAUAUUUGUGAGUUUAUUCUCUACUUAUGGUUCUUUGAAGAAUUCCUAAAAAAUUAGUAGUUUCUUAGUUUUUUCUUUGAGAUUCAAUUUUGACUUAUCAUACAACAAUUCAUAGUUGUGUGUGGCGUCUUCUACCGCAUCAAUCGUCGAUUGUACCGAGAUUACCGCUUCAAUAUAAGCGAGGGGUCAAGGUGUCGUUGGUGUCCAUUCAACGCAGAUUUCCAAACGCGAGCAAUUGUACCAAGAUUACCGUCUAAAGUAUAGACGAGGGGUUAAGGUGUUGCAAGCAAUUCACCCAACAAUUGUGCUAGAAACGGUCCGGGCGACGACCACCUCACGCAAGCGUGCCGUGGAGUCUAUCAGGUAUGUUUAUUUGUUAGUUGUUACUUGUUACAUACUUUGAUACUUACAUCUGAUUUUGAUUUGAACACUUUUACGGGUUAUUAGAUCAUUUUGAGUUAGGCUUAUGAUUUCUAAGGUGGGUAAUCUUUUGAUUCUUUCAUAAAUUUGGAAUUUUUUUUCUUACUUGGGUAUUGUGAAUUGUGGGUGUUUCUUAUUUUGGUUUGAUAAUUACCACAAGUCUGAGCUUUCCAUUGAGCCAUGUUUUAGACCUUGAUGAUCUACGGUGGAGUCUUGGAUUUUCUUGUUAAUUUUUUUUGGGAUCUUUAUUAUAUAAUUCCAUGGAUUGGGAUAAUGUGAGAUUUUAAUUUGUUGGCUUUGUUAACUUGGACCUUUUAUUUGAUAGUUACUAUGCAAUGACAGCUACAAUUUUGAUUAUAAUGGUUCUGAAAAAUUGGUGGUGUUAUGCUAUGAAGCACAAUUUAUUGCAGAAAAGCUACAGUCUUUGCAUGUCAGGGGUCUAUCAUUAAUUCCUUAAAUAUAUAAACAACUAUUUUCCAGAUACAUACUAUAUACAUAUAAAUAAACCAAUUUUGAUGAAGUUUCCUUUUUCUGCUUUACACAUCAAAAUUUAUUUAUUUUUUGUAGUUUUAAACCAGUAUUAGCAAGCGUGUAAAAAAUAAAUAAAUAGUACAACCCUAUAUACCCAGGUCCAGGGUUUUAUCUGUUCCAUAUGUGAUGUGGUUGUUGAUUUGAUUGUCAAAUUGCAAAGAUGCUGUGGAGAUAUUGUUGGUCUCUUUUACUUUCACUUGGUUAGAUUCAAAAUUUGAUAUCAUGAACUGGUGAAGGUUAAUUAAUUAUUUUCGAUGACUGUGUUUACUGAGUUGUAAAAUUUUUUAUCUCAAGUUACAGCCAUGUAUUUCCUUGAACUAGUUUGUCCAUUUAAGUUAUUAAGCUUGUUAUCACUAUAUAUUUUUUACUCUGUGACAAAACUAGAUUACUCUGUGACCCAUUCUGUUGCAUCAUUCUAGGAUUUUGGCUAAUUACUUGGCACAACAGCUAAUUCUUAUACAAAGUAAAAAUGACUGCUUGAUCUAUACAUCUCAUUAUUUUUACUUGGUCAUACUAAAACUUACUAGUUGGAGAGAACACAUGUUAGUACCCAUAAUGAGUUUUUAUCGGUGAAAUCAAUGAACUUUACAUAAUUACAUAACAUUUUUAAUUACCGUUGUCCCCCGAAAAUCUAAUUUAGUGUAGGCCUAGCUAUGACCUUUUUUGGCUAUGCAAAAAAGUGUUCUAAUGAUAUUCCUUUUAGCUACGAAUUGUGUAAUAAAGUUUAUUUACAGCAACCUGUUUUGCUAAUUGUUGAUAAUAAUGCAGACUUUCAAUGAGAUUCAAACACUAAUUAGUAAAACUAAUGGAAAAGUUGUUGGGGACUUAAUUCAGUUCAGUCUUUGGACCUGAGUCGUAAUUCCUUUACUGGGCCAGUGCCAUCAUCAUUAGCAAAGCUGAAUAAUUUGGUAUAUCUUAAUUUAUCUCUUAAUGGGUUUGAAAAGAACAUCCCAAAAGCUUUUGAGGCGAUUGAAAAUUUCAAGGUACUUGACUUGCAUGGUAACUUGUUUGAUGGUAAUCUCAAUACAGAGUUCUUGCUGCUUACUACUGCAGUUCAUGUUGAUUUGAGUGGGAAUCUGCUUGUGAGUUCUACUUCUCAGCAGCAGAAGUUUCUACCUGGUCUUUCAGAUACUAUUAAGUACUUAAAUCUUAGUGGUAACCAGCUUACAGGAUCUCUUGUUAGUGGGGGUGAGCCACAGGUGUUUGAGAAUUUAAGGGUGUUGGAUUUGAGCCACAAUCAGUUGUCUGGAGAUUUGCCUGGAUUUAAUUUUGUUUACGAGAUCCAGGUCCUCAAACUCAGCAACAACAGAUUUUCUAGGUUCAUUCCUAAUGACCUUUUGAAAGGAGAUUCAUUGGUUUUAACUGAAUUGGAUUUGAGCGGCAACAACCUCACAGGUACUCAUUUAUAUAUGAACUAAAUUUAUUGAUUUAGAUUUUCUUUGAGAUAUGUUUCGAUGUAGUUAAUCAUUUCUGGGUUGAGCAUUGUUUUGUUGUGUAACAAGAGACCUUUUUUUGAUAUAUAUUUUAUAUAGGAAUUCUGUAGUUGGACCUUAUAGUUAUAUUUGUCUUACAUACUUUUGUUUGCUACUUAACACAUUCUACUACAUUUUACAGGGGCCAAUAAGUAUGAUCACAGCAACAACUUUACGCACACUUAAUCUCUCCUCAAAUGGGCUAUCUGGUGAACUUCCUUUGGUGACCGGAAGCUGCGCAGUACUUGAUCUGUCAAAUAACCAAUUUGAAGGAAAUUUAACCAAAUUGCUAAAAUGGGGAAACAUUCAAAUUCUUGACCUCAGCCAAAACCGUUUUACAGGGCCCAUCCCUGAGGUAACCUCACAAUUUUUGCGUCUAAAUUACCUCAAUCUCUCUCAUAAUUCUCUAAGUAGUUCUCUCCCAAAUGUUAUUACGAAGUUUCCAAAGCUUACAAUCCUUGAUCUCAGUUCUAACCAGUUAAAUGGACCUCUUCUACCUACUUUAUUGACAUUGCCCACAUUGCAAGAACUUCACCUAGAAAAUAAUAUACUUAUUGGAAGUGUAGAGUUCUCUCCAUCUUCCUCUGAUGAACCUAGUCUCGCAUUCUUGAUCUUUCUCAUAAUCAGCUUAAAGGCUAUUUUCCUGAUGGAUUUGGCUCACUGACUGGACUUCAAGAUCUCAAUCUCAGCCCUCAGUUCUUUUUUUUCAGUGUUAGUGAGCCGUAGGUAACAUGUUUUUACUCAAAACUCUUGCUGGUGCUGAAUUUAUAUAUAGAGCACAGGAUUGUGUGAGAUCCUUGACUUACCUCCCAUCUUCGUGGAUUAAAGUUAAGGGGGUCUUCGUAUGUGGAAAGAUUCAAGUGCACAGCUGGAGGACAGACCAUAACUACCCAACCUGCUGGAAUGGUAUGUCCUGCAUCAAUACCAAUAUAUUUUUUAUAUUAAGUUAUGUUUAUUUGAACAAAUAUCGAGAUACUAUUGUAAAAAUUUCAAGUUAAUAUUAAGUAUUUACCCUUAAACUUGAUAUCCUUUAGUGCUUUUCUGAAUAUUCCUGGAACUAUAUUUGCUAAUCUGACCGUUUCAUUGAUGAACUGCAAUAUCAGUUAAUCGUUAAGCACAAUAGACCUUCUCAUGGAAUGUUUCUUUAUGUAGCAUUUUUUUUCAACAUAUGAACAGCGCACUCGUUGGUCCAGUAAGAAAUUAUAUUCUGGUUUCUUUGUUUCAGGUUCCUGCUAGUCCAAACUAUAGUCUGGUUCUCUACUAUGCCGCUGACAGGCCUGUAAAGGAAAACUCGUUGCUGGGUCAAUUUGUCAAUGGGACUGACAUAUUUCGUGAUUCAAGAUUAAAACUGAUUCCAAGUAUAAAAGCGGUAACAGAAGCUGUAUUAAGAUGCAGUUACAUGUUUACCUUUUUAUUAUUAUCUUUCUGAUAAAUAAAGCUGUAAAGCGUAGCUGAUGAACUCAGGGAUCUCUCCUUGAACCAGGAGAGUCUGGACUGCUGAUUAGUCACAGCUAUUUCUAAUGUUCCUUGAAUAAUCAACAUUUCAAAUAGAACAAAAACACUAUCCACUACUCCAUCAUAAAGCCAAACCACGGUUCAAAUUUCCAACAAUUUUCUUGGGCUUUUGAGGAUUGUCUAUUGUGUUUGCUUUUACAGCUUAAUUUAUUGUGCAUUCAGUGGUAUUGAGUAUUUAAUGGUAUUGACAGGGAUAUUGGAUGGUCAAGCGAGCAAUUGGGACAAAGCUUGUCUGUUGGGGAAAGCAGUAACAUGCAAAUACCUUAGACAAGACAAUUUUCUAGAGGUAGUAAUCUUUACCAUUGUUGGCCCUUGUGUUAGACAAGCUGUUUAUCAAUAAUGCAUGGUUAACUUAUAAUAUCAACUGUAUUACUUGGGAUGUCAAAUAUGGUAACUAGUGCUAAAUUCAAUUUAAAUUCAGUUGUUAUGUACUUUUGUAACAUGAAAAAAUAAUAUCAUUAAAAUUUUGGAAGAGAUAAAUAAUAUUUACUGUUAUCUAUUUACUGUUCAUUCAAUAGUAUCAUCAUUAUUUCAUAAUUGAAAGAGAUUCUGAAGUCACAGUAAUAUAUUAAUCACUCUGUAGAAUGUAUAUCGAUGUUUGUAUAAUUGUUUAUAUAGCAAAAGAUACUUGAGAAUUUAGAUCAAUUUACAUCUCUUUUCAUUUAAAUCAAAUUACUCGUCCAUAUUAAGCAUGAAAUAAAUAAUAUCAUUAAAAUUCUGGAAAUCAUUAAAGUGCUAGUGUAUGCAAUUUAAAACUAAUACAACAAGCUGUUAAAUUGUGUUCUUAAAAUAAUCUGAGCGGAUUACUGAUGUAUCUAAAACUAUGUUUAUGGACUGUUAAUAAUAGAUGUGUUGUUGUUUUCUAUGAAGUUUUGAUCGCUGUCUAUUGUGGUUUGUAAAUAAAAGUUUGGCUGAAAGGUCUAAAUCAUAGGUAUAUCUCUGGUUAAUAACGACUCCAACUAAAGGAGCUGAAGGACGUGACAUAUAUAACUUCUCCGUUGAUUGGUUUUAGAAAAUGAUGAUGCAAAAUAACUAAAAUGGUGUUAUGAGUUAAGUAAUUACUUUCACUGGGGUUAUUAUAGAGAUUGGCUAAAUUUUUGGACUAUUACAGUCUUAGAUAGGGUGACUUGUUCUUUGUGAAACCUUUUUGUUAUGAUUAUAUUAUUAUUGAAGAUAAUAUAUUUUGAGCUAAUUUAUACAACUUGCUUGUAUUAGCUUCUGCAAGUGUGCAAGAGUGGUAACUAGGGUGAUUCUAUUGAUUUGAGGAAUAAUAAUCUGUGUGAAUUUCAAUACUUUGAGAACUAUAUUAAUUCUAUUGUUUUGAGGAAUAAUAAUCUGUGUGAAUUUCAAUACUUUGAGAACUAUAUUAUUAUAUUAUUCUUUUGAUGCAGGUUGGGCUGCGGUUGCUUCUUUGCCCACUUAAUUCAAAAAUUAUGAUGCGAACAGCAUGACAAGUGUUAAUAUUGUGCAGAAAGAUAAAAUCUUUCUUAGCAAUUUGGGUAGUGCUAUUGGUAAAACUCAUGAGGAGAAUGCAUGUAUUUCGUGCUAUGAUAUGAAAAUUUUGGAAUUCAUUUUUGGGAACAUCUAUCGUUGUUGUAGAUUGGUACUCUAGUGGUGGAAAACAUAAAGCAUCUUUGGCUUUUUUGCAUGAUUAUUUCAUAGUAGUUCAGUAACUUGGGGGCAAAUUUAACAGUAAGCCCUCAGUUCUGUUAUGUUCUUGUCAAGUGGCAUUUAGAAAAUGGCAUGUUUCAAAUCAAGAUACUAACAUUCCUUUAUAUUGACCAAAAAAAGAAGUGGCAUGUUUGGUGCUUACUUGAUUAGGCGCUUUAUCCUUUCCUGAAGUAACUCUUAGACAUAGUACAAUAGGAUAGUCUUUUAGGUUGAAUUUUAAUUCUACUGCCUCUGUGAUAAUUUUUUUACAAUAUACUUUUAUCAUGUUUGUUUUGUGAAUGAUUAUUUUAUUCAGUUCUAACAAUGUGUGGUUUAAUGAGCUAUAUCUUGAUAGGCAUGUGGAAGGCAAAAACCUUGAUAGAAUUGUUUGGAGUUUAUCAACAUUUCAUGCAUACGUCAGUUAUCAUGUUAAGGUAAGAUUUUUCUUCACCUAUAUUGUCAAGCUUACACAAUUUAUUUUCUUCUAUUAUCUUAACCCUAGUCUUUUGGAGAUAUAAUAUAUUUCAGUCAUUGGAGCAUUUCUGGAAUUGGGGCCUCGAAGAUAAUUCACAUUUACUAAUAAUUUGUUGUUCGUGUCUAGUUACUUGUGCAAAUCAUUUUUACAAUUUUCUAGCACCAUAAGCUUUAACUUAUGGAUCAAUGAAUUAAAUAAGGUAGAAAAUAUUAGGAGAUUCAAAGGAAGGCCAGAGCAAAAUGAUAUGCAGCUUCAAAAAAGUUUUAAUUUCUUCAUUCGAACAAUAAUAUGAUUUGCAUGAAACAGACUGAAGAAGACAGAUCCAUUCUGUGACCUGAAGUAGUUGACUUAUGUCUAAUGAAGUUAAACUCUUGCAUGACCCUCUAUUUUUUUCCUGACUUGCUAUUAUUUUUAAAUAUGUGCAGGAAGACUGCUUCUACGACCUGCUUUACAAUACUGAGUAUCAAAUUUUCGUGCUACGUUUAUGGAAAAGGGACGAAAUUAUGAAGUGUACUCUCUCUAUAUAUGUAGAUAUAUACUUUGAUUGAAGAACUGUGGUAGCUUUAGAUGAUUAAUUGUAAAGAUAAUGAAUGAUUAUGUAGUGGAUGAUUUUAUUAAGUUAAUAAUAUUUUAGUUUUUUUUUAUUUUUGUCAUUAUUUGUUAUGGGGACAUUGAGCCAGUCAGGUACACAAAAAGAAUGUCAAAUUUUGAUUUGGCAACAAUAUAAUUCGUUACCAAAGCAUUGACCAAGUUUUAAUAUAGCAACAAUUUUUUAUACAUUUAGCAACAAAUUUUCGUUGCUAAUGGCAUUAAAAACUUUAUAUUUGGCAACGAAAAAUUAACCUAAUAACAACGGAGAGGAUAUUGUUGCUAAUACUAAAAUAAAAGGCAACAUUUUUUAUCGUUGCAAAUCAUAUCAACAUUCGUUGCACAUAUAAAGAAAUGACAACAAAUAAUGUCGUUGCUAAUCGACGACUUUCGUUUCUAUUGAAAAAUAAGCAGCAACAAACAUUCUCGUUGCUGAUUCAGCAUAAUGUCGUUGCUAAAUAAUAUAAUCAGCAACGAAAAUCGUUGCUAAAAAGUUUACAUUCCGCAACGAAAGUAAGCUUAAGCAACAAUUUUCAUAAUUUACUGCAACGAAAAAUGUCGUUGCAAAAUGGUGUCAAUUGCAACAAAAAUGCAUGGUCGUUGAAAAAAAAAAGAGUUCAUUUCGUUGCCAAUUAACAGGCUUUUGCAACGAAAUGGGCUUUUUAGCAAUAAAAUUUUAAUUAUUCUGCAACAAUACAUUUUGUUGCUAAAGGAUCGAUGUCUCUGUACGAAAGCCAAAUUUCAUUGCAAAAUGUAUUACUUUUGGCAACGAAAAAAAUACGUUUGUUGCGGAACAAUUAGCAACGCUCAUUGCGCAAUGAAAGACGUAACGACAGUAAAGUCGUUGCCAAAACCCUUUUGCAACGAAAUUUGGCACCUUUAGCAACGAAAAUCGGUUGUUGUUGAAGCCCCAUUUUUUUGUAGUGAUGUCUGUGUGGACUACCGCAUGCAUGGUGAAAGAUCAUGCGUAUUCAUUCCUUAUUAAAUUGUGGAAAUGAUCUGUCUACGUGGAUUACCGCAUAGCGGGUGAAAAUCCAUUUGCAGUUUCGUAUAUUCUAUUAUACUCGUAUGAGAUAUCAUUUCUUUUGUACUCGUCAUGAAAUAUCAUUUUCUUUGGUAUUUUUCUUUUACGAGUUACUAUUCACGAGUUACUAUUCACUAGUAUUAUUCACUCGGAUAUUUGGGGCACUUUUAAUUCGUGUCGGAGUACUAUUCACGAGUUACUAUUCACGGGUUACUAUUCACUCUAGUAUCAUUCACUCGGGUAUUUGAGGCACUUUUUGUGUCGGAGUACUAUUCACGGGGUACUAUUCCCGAAGUACUAUUUACGGGGUACUAUUCACCCAAAAAUAUAUUUCUUUUCUGUCCAAAUUAUUUUUGGUACAUAAAUAUUAUUCUUGAAUUUUACUCCACAAAGCAGUAUCAUGUUGACAAUUUGGACGUUAUUGAUUUCUGAAUAAAUUAAAUUAUAAAUCUUUAAAAUUUAUCCUUGAACUUGUUUUAUUGAAUUAUUAUGUCAUUGUCAUCAUCCUCAUGUUUAUAUUGUGAUGAAAGUCAUCUUUGGCUUACGUGCAUAGAUGAACUUGGUAUGAUUAUGACCAGGGAUAAUUCGGUAUUAUCAUGACCGUAAUGUGACGAAUGAUGUGGUGAAAGUCCUCAGUGGCCUGUAGUGUAUUGAUGGACAGUUUUUGGUAUGAUUAUAACCAGGGAUUAUUCGGUAUAGUCAUGACCAUUGAUGAUUUAAUGAAUAUCCUUGGCCCGUAGUGCAGGGAAGAAUCGAUGAUAUGGUUUAUUUAUUAAGCUGAGUCUCAGCGAUAAAGUUGAUGAAAAACUUUUUAAAUCAUAGAAGAUAGUAGAUUUUAUGCUCUACUUUACUCUUCUAAUGGAUUGCUUAUUUCCGUUGCAGUUGUUGAUCUAAAACUUGUUGUCUAUUGUAUUCUAUCAGUUGUUAUACUGUUGAAGGCUAAUGAUAAUUUAUUCUGCAUUAUCUUAGUCAUAAUAUUUCUUACUGGGCUAGUUGAGCUCACCCUUUCUUUCAUUGUUCUCUUCAAGAAAUGAGAAUAUAGCCGGGACGAAUCGGGGAAUGGAGUGAUGGUCCAUGAUAAAUGGCUUUAGUAGACCUCACUAUUCUACGGAAUAUGUGAUAAUAAUUGUAAUGAGGACUCCAUUGAGUGUGGAUAUUAUCUAGAUGACAAUAUUCUUGUUUAAACUCUCAGCUAUGUUUUGUCGUAUUUUACACGACUGUUGUAUAAUUAAGUUGUAUUUGAAUUUAUGUACCAUGUAUCUGGCGACCUAAGAUAGGUGAUGUAUACCUGUUUUGGGGGCGUCACAUUAGUGAAGAAUCAAAAGGUUACAAGCUAUUCGAUCUUAUCGCUAAGAGAGUUGUUGUGAG